UACGUAGGGUGCAAGCGUUGUCCGGAAUUAUUGGGCGUAAAGAGCUCGUAGGCGGUUCGUCGCGUCGGCUGUGAAAACCCGGAGCUCAACUCCGGGCCUGCAGUCGAUACGGGCGGACUCGAGUUCGGCAGGGGAGACUGGAAUUCCUGGUGUAGCGGUGAAAUGCGCAGAUACCAGGAGGAACACCGGUGGCGAAGGCGGGUCUCUGGGCCGAUACUGACGCUGAGGAGCGAAAGCGUGGGGAGCGAACAGG
rnacentral:rRNA from 1 species